rnacentral:rRNA from 1 species
UUUCUUGGUCAUUUAGAGGAAGUAAAAGUCGUAACAAGGUCUCCGUAGGUGAACCUGCGGAGGGAUCAUUACACAAUAACAAGGCGGGCUGGACACCCCCAGCCGGGACAGCUGACUUCACGGGGUGCGCGGCUGGGCCGGCCCUGCUGAAUUAUUCACCCGUGUCUUUUGCGUACUUCUUGUUUCCUGGGUGGGCUCGCCCGCCAUCAGGACCAACCACAAACCUUUUGCAAUAGCAAUCAGCGUCAGUAACAACGUAAUUAAUUACAACUUUCAACACCGGAUCUCUUGGUUCUGGCAUCGAUGAAGAAUGCAGCGAAAUGCGAUACGUAGUGUGAAUUGCAGAAUUCAGUGAAUCAUCAGAAUCUUUGAACGCACAUUGCGCCCUUUGGUAUUCCAAAGGGCAUGCCUGUUCGAGCGUCAUUUGUACCCUCAAGCUUUGCUUGGUGUUGGGCGUCUUUUGUCUCCAGUUCAAGCUGAGCAAAAGACUCGCGUUGAAGUCAUUGGCAGGGCCGGCCUACUGGUUUCGGAGCGCACGCCGUGAAGCAGUGUCGCGCUCUUUGGGAUGUCCAAGGUCAGCGUCCAGCAAGCCUUAUUUUUUCAACCUUUGACCUCGGAUCAGGUAGGGAUACCCGCUGAACUUAAGCAUAUCAAUAAGCGGAG